UGGUAACCAAUGUUUCAAUGGCUGGUAAUUUAAUAAACACUUUCUGGUCACUGAAAAUGAGGACAACUAAUGACAUGCAUGAUACACAUUCAAGAGAAGAACCCAAGGCUGAGAGAAAGUGACUGCAUUAGAAUCCCUUUUAGGCAAAUGAUCUUCCUUUUGAAUGGACUAGAGGACAUGUUAAUAGCAUGGCAAAUGUAGCAGUAGGAGCUGAAUUCAGUUUGGAUUGAAGAGCAAAGAUGGAAAAUUGUUUAAAUAAAAUAUUUAACCCCUCUACA
rnacentral:lncRNA from 1 species